rnacentral:rRNA from 1 species
AUUGAGGCGGGCUGGACCUCUCGGGGUUACAGCCUUGCUGAAUUAUUCACCCUUGUCUUUUGCGUACUUCUUGUUUCCUUGGUGGGUUCGCCCACCACUAGGACAAACAUAAACCUUUUGUAAUUGCAAUCAGCGUCAGUAACAAAUUAAUAAUUACAACUUUCAACAACGGAUCUCUUGGUUCUGGCAUCGAUGAAGAACGCAGCGAAAUGCGAUAAGUAGUGUGAAUUGCAGAAUUCAGUGAAUCAUCGAAUCUUUGAACGCACAUUGCGCCCUUUGGUAUUCCAAAGGGCAUGCCUGUUCGAGCGUCAUUUGUACCCUCAAGCUUUGCUUGGUGUUGGGCGUCUUGUCUCUAGCUUUGCUGGAGACUCGCCUUAAAGUAAUUGGCAGCCGGCCUACUGGUUUCGGAGCGCAGCACAAGUCGCACUCUCUAUCAGCAAAGGUCUAGCAUCCAUUAAGCCUUUUUUUCAACUUUUGACCUCGGAUCAGGUAGGGAUACCCGCUGAACUUAAGCAUAUCAAA